rnacentral:misc_RNA from 1 species
UGUGGCUGCCUCUUCUUGAGUGGCUGCAAAGAGAAAAUGUAACAAAAAAGACUCAAGCCUGGGGGUAGUUUGGGAAUAGAAAUGGAGAAUUUAAUUUGCUUGCAGAUUUUGGUGUUAGUUUGAAAUUUUAAAUAGGUUCACUAAUUAAGCAGUUGAGGUUUGGAGAUCUAUAUCUCAAUUAACUGGGAUGUGAUUGUGUAUUGAGCCCUCUAAGUCUUUAUCCAAUUAUUUUUGACUCACAUGCCCACUUCUAAAUUAUUAUAAUUUCUGGGCUAUAUUUAAUUUAUUGUUUUCCAAAUAGUAAAAAAAUAUAUUUAAUUUUGAUUGAAUUUAAGAUUUCACAUUUCUAAUUAAAUAUGAUUUUAGUAAGAUUGAAUCAAUGCUCAUUGAUUGAUUAAAUUAAUUAUUAAGAAAAAUAAAAAGAAAAAAGAUAGAGAACAUAAAAUCUAUGAUGAUAUGAUCCAAUGCUAAGAUUAAUAUUUCUAGAAACAUUAGAGAAACCAUGAGCUUGUAUCACUUUCAAGAUCAUUACAUUAUAGAGAGAGUAGGAGGUUAUUAUAUGGCAAAUCCACCUAGUUAAUGAUCUGCCCAAGAUUACUAUGAAGAAGUUACUUAUCACUUGAAAUUCUAUUUAUAACGUACAUUGAUUAUAAAGAAGUUAAGCCCUAAUAACAAAUUAGGUAAACAAAGGCUGUGACAAAAUCACACUGAAUAUCUUCUCAGAGGUAAUUAGAUGACUAGGGAACUCACGCUUUAUGUGAGGAAGGACAGGUG